rnacentral:rRNA from 1 species
GGGCAUGCGCGUGCUAUACAUGCAGUCGAGCGGACAGAUGGGAGCUUGCUCCCUGAUGUUAGCGGCGGACGGGUGAGUAACACGUGGGUAACCUGCCUGUAAGACUGGGAUAACUCCGGGAAACCGGGGCUAAUACCGGAUGGUUGUUUGAACCGCAUGGUUCAGACAUAAAAGGUGGCUUCGGCUACCACUUACAGAUGGACCCGCGGCGCAUUAGCUAGUUGGUGAGGUAACGGCUCACCAAGGCAACGAUGCGUAGCCGACCUGAGAGGGUGAUCGGCCACACUGGGACUGAAACACGGCCCAGACUCCUACGGGAGGCAGCAGUAGGGAAUCUUCCGCAAUGGACGAAAGUCUGACGGAGCAACGCCGCGUGAGUGAUGAAGGUUUUCGGAUCGUAAAGCUCUGUUGUUAUGGAAAAACAAGUGCCGUUCAAAUAGGGCGGCACCUUGACGGUACCUAACCAAAAAGCCACGGCUAACUACGUGCCAGCAGCCGCGGUAAUACGUAGGUGGCAAGCGUUGUCCGGAAUUAUUGGGCGUAAAGGGCUCGCAGGCGGUUUCUUAAGUCUGAUGUGAAAGCCCCCGGCUCAACCGGGGAGGGUCAUUGGAAACUGGGGAACUUGAGUGCAAAAGAGGAGAGUGGAAUUCCACGUGUAGCGGUGAAAUGCGUAAAUAUGUGGAGGAACACCAGUGGCGAAGGCGACUCUCUGGUCUGUAACUGACGCUGAGGAGCGAAAGCGUGGGGAGCGAACAGGAUUAGAUACCCUGGUAGUCCACGCCGUAAACGAUGAGUGCUAAGUGUUAGGGGGUUUCCGCCCCUUAGUGCUGCAGCUAACGCAUUAAGCACUCCGCCUGGGGAGUACGGUCGCAAUACUGAAACUCAAGGGAAUUGACGGGGGCCCGCACAAGCGGUGGAGCAUGUGGUUUAAUUCGAAGCUACGCGAAAAAUCUUACCAGGUCUUGACCUCCUCUGAACAUCCUAAAAAUAGGACGUCCCCUUCGGGGGCAAAAUGACAGGGGGUGCAUGUUG